rnacentral:rRNA from 1 species
AGUCGAACGAUGAACCUCCUUCGGGAGGGGAUUAGUGGCGAACGGGUGAGUAACACGUGGGCAAUCUGCCCUGCACUCUGGGACAAGCCCUGGAAACGGGGUCUAAUACCGGAUACUGAUCAUCUUGGGCAUCCUUGGUGAUCGAAAGCUCCGGCGGUGCAGGAUGAGCCCGCGGCCUAUCAGCUUGUUGGUGAGGUAAUGGCUCACCAAGGCGACGACGGGUAGCCGGCCUGAGAGGGCGACCGGCCACACUGGGACUGAGACACGGCCCAGACUCCUACGGGAGGCAGCAGUGGGGAAUAUUGCACAAUGGGCGAAAGCCUGAUGCAGCGACGCCGCGUGAGGGAUGACGGCCUUCGGGUUGUAAACCUCUUUCAGCAGGGAAGAAGCGAAAGUGACGGUACCUGCAGAAGAAGCGCCGGCUAACUACGUGCCAGCAGCCGCGGUAAUACGUAGGGCGCGAGCGUUGUCCGGAAUUAUUGGGCGUAAAGAGCUCGUAGGCGGCUUGUCGCGUCGGUUGUGAAAGCCCGGGGCUUAACCCCGGGUCUGCAGUCGAUACGGGCAGGCUAGAGUUCGGUAGGGGAGAUCGGAAUUCCUGGUGUAGCGGUGAAAUGCGCAGAUAUCAGGAGGAACACCGGUGGCGAAGGCGGAUCUCUGGGCCGAUACUGACGCUGAGGAGCGAAAGCGUGGGGAGCGAACAGGAUUAGAUACCCUGGUAGUCCACGCCGUAAACGGUGGGCACUAGGUGUGGGCGACAUUUCCACGUCGUCCGUGCCGCAGCUAACGCAUUAAGUGCCCCGCCUGGGGAGUACGGCCGCAAGGCUAAAACUCAAAGGAAUUGA